GCAUGCUUACACAUGCAAGUCGAACGGCAGCACGGGUGCUUGCACUGGUGGCGAGUGGCGAACGGGUGAGUAAUACAUCGGAACGUGCCCUGUAGUGGGGGAUAGCCCGCGAAAGUCGGACUAAUACCGCAUACGAUCUACGGAUGAAAGUGGGGGAUCUUCGGGCCUCGCGCUAUUGGAUUGGCGAUGGCUGAUUAGCUAGUUGGUGGGGUAAAAGCCUACCAAGGCGACGAUCAGUAGCUGGUCUGAGAGGACGACCAGCCACACUGGGACUGAGACACGGCCCAGACUCCUACGGGAGGCAGCAGUGGGGAAUUUUGGACAAUGGGCGAAAGCCUGAUCCAGCAAUGCCGCGUGAGUGAAGAAGGCCUUCGGGUUGUAAAGCACUUUUGUCCGGGAAGAAAUCCCUAGCUUUAAUAUAGUUGGGGGAUGACGGUACCUGAAGAAUAAGCACCGGCUAACUACG
rnacentral:rRNA from 1 species